GUACCUCACUCCAGCAGCACAUAGACUAAAAUUGGAACAGUACAGAGAAGAUUAGCAUGGUCCUUGUACAAGGGUGGCAUGCAAAUUCGUGAAGCAGUCCAUAUUUUG
ensembl:snRNA U6 U6 spliceosomal RNA